UCCGAGUUGACCCCGGCAGUCUCCUAUGAGUCCCCACCAUUACGUGCUGGCAACAUAGAACGAGGGUUGCGCUCGUUGCGGGACUUAACCCAACAUCUCACGACACGAGCUGACGACAGCCAUGCACCACCUGUGAACCGGCCCCAAAGGGGAAACCACAUUUCUGCGGCGGUCCGGUCCAUGUCAAGCCUUGGUAAGGUGGGGAUGACGUAAGGAUAG
rnacentral:misc_RNA from 1 species